rnacentral:lncRNA from 1 species
UGCCUCAUAUCCAUCUAAAAUCCACUUACACCCUAUGGAUAUUAUCCCUUUCAGGUGAAUUAAUGAAUGUCCAUACAUCGUCGAUCUUCAUGGACUUCAUUUCAGAUUUAAUGGCUCCAAGCCACUUCUCAAAGUUAGAUCCCUAUAUAGCAUCCGUAUGGGAGGUCAAAUCUCUUCUCCAAACUUAAAAAUUGAAGUAUCUGUUCGAUUG